GCUGGGUGUGGUGGUGCACGCCUGUAAUCCCAGUUACUUGGGAGGCUGAGGCAGGAGAAUCGCUUGAACCCAGGAGGCGGCGUUGCAGGGAGCCAAGAUUGCACCACUGCUCUCUAGUAGUGGACUGCACUCCAGCCUGGGCAACAGAGUGAGACCCUGUCUCAA
ensembl:misc_RNA Metazoa_SRP Metazoan signal recognition particle RNA